rnacentral:rRNA from 1 species
UACGUAGGGGGCAAGCGUUGUCCGGAUUUAUUGGGCGUAAAGAGCGUGUAGGCGGUUCGGUAGGUCCGUUGUGAAAACUCGAGGCUCAACCUCGAGACGCCGAUGGAAACCCCCGAACUAGAGUCCGGAAGAGGAGAGUGGAAUUCCUGGUGUAGCGGUGAAAUGCGCAGAUAUCAGGAGGAACACCGGUGGCGAAGGCGGGAUCCUGGGCCAGUACUGACGCUGAGGAGCGAAAGCGUGGGGAGCAAACAGG